GCAUUUUUUAUGAAAAAAUAAAUAUCCAAGAGAAGCUGAAACUAAAUGGAGAAAUUGAAAUACAUCUACUGGAAGAAAAGAUCCGAUUCCUGAAAAUGAAGAUUGCUGAGAAGCAAAGACAAAUUCGUGUGACCCAGAAAUUACUGCCAGCCAAGAGGUCCCUGGAUGCCAAUCUAGCUGUGCUCCAAAUUCAGUUUUCACAGUGUACAGACAGAAUUAAAGACCUGGAGAAACAGUUCAUAAAGCCUGAUGGUGAGAAUAGAGCUCGCUUCCUUCCAGGGAAAGAUCUGACCGAAAAAGAAAUGAUCCAAAAAUUAGACAAGGUAAACAUUAUUGCUUAAAAUUGCAUCUGUUAGCCCCUUGUUGAUGUAGUUUCACAGAUACCUAUGGUACUGUUUCACAUUAUGCUGACAGACCUAUCCUUCAUUAUUCUAGUCACUAAUAUAGUCCUUUUGUUGUAAUCUAGUCAUACAUUCUAAGCUUGAUUUAGACACUUGCCAAAAGAAGUUCCAAUCCAGUGGUUUCGAGAUUCCAAAGGCACCUUUCUCUCAUGACCCAAAGGAGUAA
rnacentral:sRNA from 1 species